rnacentral:misc_RNA from 1 species
GUGGCUUAGUACAAAAGUAAAAAAAAAAACGAUAGAAAAAGAACAAUAAUAAUAAUAAUUAUUGAACAUUUACGACUGACUACUGAAUAAUAACUUUUAAAUUUUUGAUUUAAAGCUUAAAAAUAAUUUUAAAUUUAGUGUAGACUGUUAAACGUAGAAUGCGGAUACGUUAUGCAUUACUGCGGGUCGCGGGUCGCGGACGUCAGACGCCUAGGUCUACUAAAGGUUUACAAUGUUAAGUCUGAUAGUUGAAAAUUAUACAUGAAUACUUUGUACUUACAUUAUUCUUCAUUUUUUUAGUUUGUCGUUUGUGGAACUUUAUAUAGUAUAUUAUUAUUAUGGCAACAUUAGUGGAAACAGAUGAUAGUACAUUAUCAUAUGAAAAACUUAAAAACUUAUGUAAAGAAAAUGUUAUUUAUUUUACUAAUAACGAAAGAAAUGGUUCGACUGCCAUGGCUAAUUGUUUUGAACAACUGCUUCAAAAUAUUGAUAAUAUAAAACCUUUGGUUUUUGAAUUGCGUAAUGUCUGUCAUUUAUAUGAUUUUGAUCCAUCUGUACCUGGUAAUGGAUAUCGAAGUUAUGUCACAGUUGUUGAUUUAUUUAUUGCCCAUUGCAUUAAAAUUUGUAAUCAAAUGGCCGUCAAUCGUGAUUCAUUUUUUUUCCGUAAAACAUUUUAUACAAAAGAGAUUGAAUCAUGUAACCAAGUGAUGAGUGCGUUGGUAUUGUGCUUAGAAAACUUAUGUCUUUUAAUUGGUUGGAGUGAACCAGGAAUGUUAUUUGCUGGAAAUGAUACUGCAGCAUUAGAACUCAUGAUGAAAAUUGAACCAUCUAAACUAUGCCCUUUUUAUGGGCGCUGUUUGGCUUUUCAAUUUAAUGAGUCACUACAGCCUGCUUUGAAAACUAUUGCUAUAAUGAUGGCUGCUUUUAGUGAAGUCUACUAUAAUGAAAAUGGCAUGUUGGCUAGGGCUAAUACUGCAUGGAAUUGUAGCAAAUAUAUGUUAAAUCCAGAAUUGAGAGCUCGUAGAAUUGUUAAUGUCAUUCAGUAUUCUUCAAUAGAAUUUUACAAAGCAUUUUUAUUCCUUGGUGAAACUGAACUGUUAAAAAGUUUACCGAACCUAGUUUCUCCUGCGGUAGCUAUAAAUCGGUUAAUAGCAAUUCCUAGCAAAUCAUUUUUUUACUUGAAACCAGAUGGAGAAUUAUUUGAACUUCAGCCUCCUUUAUGCCAUAUUGGACCUGCUGCCCUAAAUGCUCGACUAAUUGCAAAAACUAAACGUGAAGGCAUGUUGGCAGAAAAUCCCGGAAGCGGGGUGCUACCAGAACCAUGUGAAAAUCUUAUCAUUCACUGCCAUGGAGGUGGUUUUGUAUCUCAAAGUUCAAGUUCUCACGAAUCAUAUUUAAGAGAUUGGGCAGUUCGUUUAGACAUUCCCAUAUUGUCUAUUGAUUAUUCUCUAGCACCGAGAGCACCAUAUCCUAGAGCUAUGGAAGAACUAUUAUUUGCUUACAUUUGGGCAUUAAGUAAUGCAGCUUAUUUGGGUUCUACUGCUAAACGUGUCAUAAUGGCAGGUGACUCGGCUGGAGGAAAUUUAAGUGCUUGUGUAGCAUUAAAAUGUAUAGAAAUGGGUUUCAGAAUACCUGACAGCUUAUUUUUGGCAUAUUUUCCUUGUGCAAUAGCUUGGUCUCCAACACCUGCAAGAUUUCUGAGUUUAAUAGAUCCACUAAUACCUCUAGGUUUUAUGACUAAUUGUUUGAAGGCCUAUGCUUGUUCUCCUGACAUCUAUCAAGAUAGUUUGUAUGAGUAUAAAUUGAAAAAUAUGGCGAAACCAAAAGAUGGCACUAAUGAAGGCUUUAUAGAAGAAGUUGAAUCUAGUGAAGAAGCUCUAGAGUUAAUACAAAACACCAACGAUGAUAGUCAAUCAGUAAUAACUCCAGUUGAAGAAGUUAUUAUGGCUGCACAUGAACGAAGACAAUCCAGACGAUUCUCAACAAUAUUGACAGAAACAGCAGAAAAUAUAAGUUCUGCUAUUACCACCACAUUCAUUACACUAACUGGAGGAACAGCUGAAGAAGAUAUUAGACAGUACACAUGGAUCCAUGCUUAGAUGAUUGCGUUAUGUUUGCUAAACGGUUAAAAGAACUUGGGAAAAAAGUGAAUAUGGAUAUUCUAAAAGGAUUACCUCAUGGCUUUUUAAAUUUAGCUAUUACCUGCAAAGAAGCGCAUGAAGGAUCAGUAUUGUGUGCUCAACGUAUCGCAGAUUUAUUUAAAGAAAUUGAAAUAUGUGAAUGUUAGUACUCUUUUUGAAUCUCAUUUCAUAAAAAAUAAUUUAAUGAAU